AGACAGAGGGUUCGAUAUUCAGCCGAUCGAUGAGGGAAAAGGCACAAAGGCAAAAUCGGAUGGAGCUCCUUUUCAAAUUCACAUCUCCGAUGUCCCCCCCAGCAGUCUGCGCUGGUGCGACGCACAGGGAGCAAGGGUUACCUCAAGGCUGUUCCGUGGACCAUGCAAACAAGUCUAGACCAGUGACCUGCUCAAUCGCUCCCUUUGAGGGCCAGGCAAGUUCGGUCAGGAAGAAGAAAGCAAGGCGUGCCCUCUUUUCAUUGAGGGAGCAAGGAGGCAGACGGCGGUGUUCAAGCGAAGCUCCUCAGACUGAGCACAUCUCUGCACAGAUGAGCUGAGAGGUCAAUGAGUUUCUGGGCUGCCACAGUGACUGCCAAAGUCAACAAGCACCAGCUGCUUUUGAUGGACAGGGGAUCCAGCAGUGUUUGCCCAGCUUCCAGUGAAUAUUGACGAAAUUGGAUUCAGAGUGACAAUUGAAGAGGGAUCUGGGGGCCGGCAGUUUGGUCAUUAAUGACCUCUCCAUAACAGGUGUCUCGCCUAUCUGACAGAAAGGAGGAGGAGAAG
ensembl:lncRNA